GACGAACGCUGGCGGCGUGCCUAAUACAUGCAAGUCGGGCGAACCAAUAGGAGCUUGCUCCUGUUGGUUAGCGGCGGACGGGUGAGUAACACGUGGGCAACCUGCCUGUAAGACUGGGAUAACACCGGGAAACCGGUGCUAAUACCGGAUAAUCUUUUUCCUCUCAUGAGGAAAAACUGAAAGUCGGUUUCGGCUGACACUUACAGAUGGGCCCGCGGCGCAUUAGCUAGUUGGUGAGGUAACGGCUCACCAAGGCGACGAUGCGUAGCCGACCUGAGAGGGUGAUCGGCCACACUGGGACUGAGGCACGGCCCAGACUCCUACGGGAGGCAGCAGUAGGGAAUCUUCCACAAUGGACGAAAGUCUGAUGGAGCAACGCCGCGUGAGCGAUGAAGGCCUUCGGGUCGUAAAGCUCUGUUGUUAGGGAAGAACAAGUACCGGAGUAACUGCCGGUGCCUUGACGGUACCUAACCAGAAAGCCACGGCUAACUACGUGCCAGCCGCCGCGGUAA
rnacentral:rRNA from 1 species